rnacentral:lncRNA from 1 species
CGGGUGGGACAAAAACGAGAUGGAAGUGGGUGGGACAACUAUUCAGCCAUUGGAUUGUAGUUGCACACAUAUGUCAACACACUUGUGGCCGAAGCAAGAUUCAGUGGUGUACCUUCAGCAAGACACCAUGUACUUUACCUCUCCUUUCCCGUCAUCCAAAGUCGACCUAAAGGUUUCCGUGUUUCCUAAUUGUGGCGAAUAGCUAAAGGCUUAUCCUUUUUAGCAACG